rnacentral:rRNA from 1 species
GAUCAUGGCUCAGGACGAACGCUGGCGGCGCGCCUAACACAUGCAAGUCGAACGAGCGAGAGAGAGCUUGCUUUCUCGAGCGAGUGGCGAACGGGUGAGUAACGCGUGAGGAACCUGCCUCAAAGGAGGGGGACAACAGUUGGAAACGACUGCUAAUACCGCAUAAGCCCACGACCCGGCAUCGGGUAGAGGGAAAAGGAGCAAUCCGCUUUGAGAUGGCCUCGCGUCCGAUUAGCUAGUUGG